rnacentral:rRNA from 1 species
UACAGAGGUCUCAAGCGUUGCUCGGAAUCACUGGGCGUAAAGGGUGCGUAGGCGGGUCUUUAAGUCAGGGGUGAAAUCCUGGAGCUCAACUCCAGAACUGCCUUUGAUACUGAAGAUCUUGAGUUCGGGAGAGGUGAGUGGAACUGCGAGUGUAGAGGUGAAAUUCGUAGAUAUUCGCAAGAACACCAGUGGCGAAGGCGGCUCACUGGCCCGGUACUGACGCUGAGGUGCGAAAGCGUGGGGAGCAAACAGG